rnacentral:rRNA from 1 species
UUCGCCCUUAGAGUUUGAUCAUGGCUCAGGAUGAACGCUGGCGGUGUGCCUAAGGUAUGCAAGUCGAGCGACCCUUCGGGGGAGCGGCAGACGGGUGAGUAAUGCACAGAUAUCUGCCUUAAAGUCCGGCAUAGCCCCACGAAAGUGGGAGUAAUUCCGGAUAGUCCCUAAAUCUUUUAGGUUUAGGGUAAAGAUUUAUCGCUUUUUGAUGAAUCUGUGUCCUAUCAGCUUGUUGGUAAGGUAAAGGCUUACCAAGGCUAAGACGGGUAGCUGAUCUGAGAGGAUGGUCAGCCACAAUGGCACUGAGAUACGGGCCAUACUCCUACGGGAGGCAGCAAUUAGGAAUUUUGCACAAUGGGGGAAACCCUGAUGCAGCGACACCGCGUGAAGGAUGAAGAUUUUCGGAUUGUAAACUUCUUUUAUAGUCUAACAAGUUCUGAGUGGACUAUGAAUAAGCACCUGCUAACUGCGUGCCAGAAGCAUCGGUGAUGCGUGGGGUGCAAGCGUUAUCCGGAAUUAUUGGGCGUAAAGAGAUGCGUAGGCGUUCUGAUAAGUUUAUUGUUAAAUACUUCAGCUCAACUGAAGGGAUGCAAUGAAAACUAUCAGAAUUGAGAUAGAGAGGAGUAAGUAGAAUUCCCGGUGGAGCGGUGAAAUGUGUUGAUAUCGGGAGGAAUACCAGUGGCGAAGGCGACUUACUAGCUCUAUUCUGACGCUAAGGCUCGAAAGCGUGGGUAGCGAAACGGAUUAGAUACCCGUGUAGUCCACGCUGUAAACGAUCUUCACUAGAUGUUGGAUAAGCUGAUUUAUGGAAACUUGUUUCUGUUUAUCAUCAAGUUCAGUGUCGUAGCUAACGCGUUAAGUGAAGCGCCUGGGGAGUACGGUCGCAAGACUAAAACUCAAAGGAAUUGGCGGGGACCCGCACAAGCGGUGGAGCGCGUGGUUUAAUUCGAUGGUAAUCGAAGAACCUUACCAAGGCUUGACAUAUAGCUGCAAAGCCCAUGAAAGUGGGAAUCCUUCGAGGGUGCUAUACAGGUGCUGCAUGGCCGCCGUCAGCUCGUGUCGUGAGAUGUAGGGUUAAGUCCCGAAGCGAGCGCAACCCUUAUCCCGUGUUAUAUGUGUCUCGGGAGACUGCCUCGGUAAAACGAGGAGGAAGGUGGGGAUGACGUCUGGUCCUCAUGGCCUUUAUGCCUUGGGCGACACACGCGCUACAAUGGCCGGUACAAAAGGAUGCCAAACCGUAAGGUGGAGCAAAUCCUAUCAAAGCCGGUCUCAGUUCGGAUUGAGGUCUGAAACUCGACCUCAUGAAGUUGGAAUCGCUAGUAAUCGCAGAUCAGCCAUGCUGCGGUGAAUACGUUCUCGGGUCUUGCACACACCGCCCAUCAUGUCACGAAAGCUGGGGGUGCCCGAAGUUAUCAUGUCUCGCUUGCGAGAGUAGGUAACGAAGGUAAACUCGGUGAUUGGGAUAAAGUCGUAACAAGGUA